GACGAACGCUGGCGGCGUGCUUAGCACAUGCAAGUCGAACGGAAAGGCCCUGCUUUUGUGGGGUGCUCGAGUGGCGAACGGGUGAGUAACACGUGAGUAACCUGCCCUUGACUUUGGGAUAACUUCAGGAAACUGGGGCUAAUACCGGAUAGGAGCUCCUGCUGCAUGGUGGGGGUUGGAACGUUUCGGCGGUUGGGGAUGGACUCGCGGCUUAUCAGCUUGUUGGUGGGGUAGUGGCUUACCAAGGCUUUGACGGGUAGCCGGCCUGAGAGGGUGACCGGCCACAGUGGGACUGAGAUACGGCCCAGACUCCUACGGGAGGCAGCAGUGGGGAAUAUUGCACAAUGGGCGGAAGCCUGAUGCAGCAACGCCGCGUGCGGGAUGACGGCCUUCGGGUUGUAAACCGCUUUCGCCUGUGACGAAGCGUGAGUGACGGUAAUGGGUAAAGAAGCACCGGCUAACUACGUG
rnacentral:rRNA from 1 species